rnacentral:misc_RNA from 1 species
GUGAGAUUCAGUGGGUGUAAAUCCCUUGCGAUUUGGUUUGAAGUUGAUAAACCUCUUACUCCGUGACACUGGGCAUGGAACUUGGACAUUGAUAUAGCGCUGCUGGGGAAGAAUGGAGAAUAAUGGGAUGCACAGGGACGAGCUUUAUCAUUUGGUGGAUGAGAAAUAGCAAUGCAAAGUGCCAUUACAUGCAAGACAAUCACUCUCAAAAGGUGAUGAGGUAGAGCUCUAGACAGCAG